ACCAUCAACAAGGAGCCAAGACCCUCCACCAAGCAAAAAGAUUACAACUUGCUCCUGGCUCAGACAAUGAUUAGCAUUUUUAACCAGAGUAUUUUUAAUUAAGCCCUGUACAUUGUUUUUAAAGACAUAAUGCUACUGCACACUUAACACACUACAGUACAGUAUAAACAUAAC